CAGUACUUAUGUUAUGCUCUCU
rnacentral:miRNA from 1 species